CCAGACUCCUACGGGAGGCAGCAGUGGGGAAUAUUGGACAAUGGACCAAGAGUCUGAUCCAGCAAUUCUGUGUGCACGAUGAAGUUUUUCGGAAUGUAAAGUGCUUUCAGUUGGGAAGAAAGAAAUGACGGUACCAACAGAAGAAGUGACGGCUAAAUACGUGCCAGCAGCCGCGGUAAUACGUAUGUCACAAGCGUUAUCCGGAUUUAUUGGGCGUAAAGCGCGUCUAGGUGGUUAUGUAAGUCUGAUGUGAAAAUGCAGGGCUCAACUCUGUAUUGCGUUGGAAACUGUGUAACUAGAGUACUGGAGAGGUAAGCGGAACUACAAGUGUAGAGGUGAAAUUCGUAGAUAUUUGUAGGAAUGCCGAUGGGGAAGCCAGCUUACUGGACAGAUACUGACGCUGAAGCGCGAAAGCGUGGGUAGCAAACAGGAUUAGAUACCCUGGUAGUCCACGCCGUAAACGAUGAUUACUAGGUGUUGGGGGUCGAACCUCAGCGCCCAAGCAAACGCGAUAAGUAAUCCGCCUGGGGAGUACGUACGCAAGUAUGAAACUCAAAGGAAUUGACGGGGGCCCGCACAAG
rnacentral:rRNA from 1 species